UACGUAGGUGGCAAGCGUUGUCCGGAUUUAUUGGGCUUAAAGGGUGCGUAGGCGGCUUUGUAAGUCAGUGGUGAAAUAUGGUAGCUCAACUGUCAGGGUGCCAUUGAUACUGCGGAGCUUGAGUACAGAUGAGGUAGGCGGAAUCGACGGUGUAGCGGUGAAAUGCUUAGAUAUCGUCAAGAACACCGAUAGCGAAGGCAGCUUACUGGGCUGUAACUGACGCUGAGGCACGAAAGUGUGGGGAUCAAACAGG
rnacentral:rRNA from 1 species